GAUGAACGCUGGCGGCGUGCCUAAUACAUGCAAGUCGAGCGAACGGACGAGAAGCUUGCUUCUCGGAUGUUAGCGGCGGACGGGUGAGUAACACGUGUAUAACCUACCUAUAAGACUGGUAUAACUUCGGGAAACCGGAGCUAAUACCGGAUGAUAUUUUGAACCGCAGGGUUCAAAAGUGAAAGACGGUCUUGCUGUCACUUAUAGAUGGAUCCGCGCUGCAUGAGCUAGUUGGUAAGGUAACGGCUUACCAAGGCAACGAUGCAUAGCCGACCUGAGAGGGUGAUCGGCCACACUGGAGCGGAGACACGGACCAGACUCCUACGGGAGGCAGCAGUAGGGAAUCUUACGCAAUGGGCGAAAGCCUGACGGAGCAACGCCGCGUGAGUGAUGAAGGUCUUCGGAUCGUAAAACUCUGUUAUUAGGGAAGAACAUAUGUGUAAGUAACUGUGCAGAUCUUGACGGUACCUAAUCAGAAAGCCACGGCUAACUACGUG
rnacentral:rRNA from 1 species